rnacentral:snRNA from 1 species
UUCAGGCCUCUGACACUUGAUAAAAUCGGAUCGAUAUAUAGAAGAUUAGCAUGUCCCCUGCGCAAGAAUGAAAUGUAAAUCUUGAAUGUCAACCUCUAUUC